UCGAGUUGGAGAAGAGCCGACUCAUGCUGUACAUUCUCCGGUUUUGCACGAAACGAAAUCAGCCUGUCAGCAUGUAGGAGCAGGAAAUUGCUUCACAAGAAAAAUACAGGAAGUCGCAAAUUUAACAUUCAUGGAAAUAACAGCAAGUGCGACUCUCACAAGUGUUGGAUCAUUAGUUUCCGAAGAUGUAAAGCUGCAGAGUUACAAACAAGGCCGGGACGGGAACUCAUCAGCAUGCCGGCGCCAGGCUGCGUGGCUUCUCGAAAGAGCAAGCGAGGACGUGACACUUCCAGGUUCCUGAAUUGGGAAACAGAUGAAACCUGUGGAACUGGUGUUGCCGAAGAGGCUGCGUUCGGGGGAGUGUGACGGAGCUGACGGAAAUGUAAUCGCCAGGGUUUCGAAAUUCAAGAGCCACUGAUGGGAGAUGACGCGGGCCGGCGGUGCUGGACACGCCACAGAGGGGUACAGUCAAAGAAAGAGCAUGUCAAGAAGAAGGCUUCGCUGCCCCCCAACGUCUGACAGUUAGCUCGGUGCAUCACAGACACACACCGAAAACAAAACCCUCUCGCGCCGAUUUCCUGUGAAUGUCAAGACCAAGCGGCCCUGCUCUCCGACCUCCAGCUGUUUCUUCCCCCUUCCGUGGCAGAAGAAAAGGAGGCCGCAUCCAAACCUGAACUUUUUCGUCGCGGCCUUUCAUCGAAAUGCCAGAUGAAGAGACGAGCGGCGGUGAGAGAAAAACAACAGACAAACAAAAAAGGGAUGGAAGAAGAGCGAGCGGACAGGGGGAAUGAGAGAGUGGGAGAGACGGCGUCGACGAGAAGUUGGACAAACUUUCAUCUCCGACGAACAGGUGACACCUGCGAGGUGAGAGACGCCCGUGUCAGGUUUUCUGACACAUGCCUCUACAAGCAAAUCUGACGAUUCCUUGAAAAUAAAUAAAGAAAGUUGAAUAGAUGAUCAUUCCCGGAGGUUA